GAGAAAAGCAAGAGCAGGUGCUGAAAACGAAAAGGAAACUAGCAGCAGUCCCAGCUACCACAAUGGAUCAGCCCCCAUUUGGCCAACAGGUGACUCUACCCCAGGUGGGCCUGAGAGGACCCAUCCCCCAUCUCACCAUUCUGCCCCAGCGCCCUGGAUCCUGCCUCUACCACUUCUUCCCUGCAGCGUCUGCGGUUCCCCCACCGCUGUGAGCCAGGUUCCCCCUCCAGGCUGCUGGGCUGGGACUGAGUUACUUCUUCCCAGGCUGUAAAUCCUGGGACUGCUGUGCAAGGCAGAGUCACUAGGGACGGACUCUGGCAGCAGAGCUGCGCUCUCGUGCCCCAGCCAGCCAGGCUCUCCUGGGAUCUGGGCUGGAAGGGGCUGCCGAGACCAUCAGUCCAAUCUUUGGUCUACAGGUUGGGAAACUGAGGCUCAAGGAAGGCUCUGCGUCCUGCUUUGUGUAAGGAGAGAGCUGGGCAGUGAGGCCGAAAGUCCUUCCUGAGCUCACAGUCCAAGUUGCAAGGAAUCACAUCAUUUCCAAGUACCCAUGGCAGAAGAGGGAGCC
rnacentral:lncRNA from 1 species